AAAGAGGCUCUAAACUACGUUUCUAUGCAGCCUGGUGGAGGGCUCUCAAUUCUCAGCCCGCGAAUGAGGCUCUCAACACUGUCUCUGUUCAGCCCGCGAAUGAGGCUCUCAACACUGUCUCUGUUCAGCCCUGCCGCAGGGCCCUCCACCUUCCGCCUGUUCAGCCCGCCAGUGAGGCUCUCAACACUGUCUCUGUUCAGCCCUGCAGGCCUCUCCACCUGCCGCAGGCCUCUCCACCUUCCCCGUUCGCCCGUAGGCCCUCAACCCUAUCCCUACUCAACCCGGUUAUCCAUCUCUCACUUCUGCUUCUCCUUCGGAGUAUCAGGCUCGCUUGAAGCCUGUCCUGCAGUUACCGCCCGGCCUGGUCUUCAGGCCCCUGAAAGACCUGCUCAGCAGGUACUCGCGCCUCCACCUGGCUUACAGGUUCUCAAUUCUUCCUCUAUUCAAAACCCUCAUUUCUUUUCUGCUUCUGGUCCGGUCACCACUGCGGUUGCCGCCACCACCAUGGCCGCUCACGAGCAACAAAUCACAUACGUUCCUUAAAAUGAUACUCCUCUUAUGAGGGCCAUCUCUCAGGCAAGGGAAUACGGGGAUCCCGAAGCCUGGCAAUUUCCUGUAAUUUUACAACCUCCGAUGCCUGCCGCCCCCGUCCCUGAGGCACAGGAUCAGCCACAGCCCGCUGAUCCUGCCCAGCAGGUGGCUGAGCCCGCGCCUCCUCGGGCUCCUCAGCUCGCAGCCUGACAGUCAGGCUCCUCAGGCAAAUCAGCAGGCUCCACAACUGCCUGCGGCGCAGCCAGUUCCAGGUAUACCUGCAGUCCGGGCAGUAGUCCAACCAGAUCCUCUUCAUCCAGGCCAGGUCCAGCUACGCCCUGCUUCUUGGGAAAGCUUUUCUUCUAAAUUCCUCAAAGAUUUCAAAGAAUCAGUGAAGCAAUCGGCACCAACUCCCCUUUGUCCGGUCCACAUUAAAAGCUCAGAAGAUAAACAGCAGUUUGGUGCCUUAUGAUUGGUAAAUUCUAGCAAAAUCGGUAUUAUCUAAAUCCCAAUAUUUACAAUUCGGGACUUGGUGGGUCGAUGCUGUCCAGGAUCGAGUUCAGCUUAAUCAAGGCUCUAAUCCUCCUGUUAAUGUUGCAGCUGACCAGUUAUUGGGAAGGGGACAAUGGCCUGCAACUACAAAUCAAACUAUACUAAAUGAUGAGGUCAUUCAACAGCUUCGCAAAUGCUGCCUGCAUACUAGUAAUAGCGCACUUAUACCAGUCCCUAACGAUGACAGGUUUCCCGCUCAACCAGAGGAAAAGGGUGUGCAGUUUAAUUUGUCAAUUGGAUAUAAAUUCCCGCCAUUGUGCACAGCACUGUCACCUGGCUGCUUGGCUUUCUCUAAUCAAAAUUGGAUGUGGACCGUACCAUCCUCUAGUAAUGAUUCUUAUGAAGUACAUAAUGUGUUCAGUAGUAAUUCUUUUCAGAUCAUGGCUGUUGAACUUAAUCCUCAUGAGGAAUGGAGAGUUCCCGUCACCACCAAAAAUAAUACAACAAAAGGACUGCCAGACUGUUCAAGAGAACCUACCAAGGGAACUUGUUUAGGGAACUCAAUCAUAUGGAAUGACUGUAAUGCUCCAA
ensembl:lncRNA